rnacentral:rRNA from 1 species
CGGACCUCAGAUCAGGCAAGACCACCCGCUGAGUUUAAGCAUAUCACUAAGCGGAGGAAAAGAAACUAACGAGGAUUUCCUUAGUAACGGCGAGCGAAC